rnacentral:rRNA from 1 species
GACGAACGCUGGCGGCGUGCUUAACACAUGCAAGUCGAACGAUGAAACCUAGCUUGCUAGGUCGAUUAGUGGCGAACGGGUGAGUAACACGUGACUAACCUGCCCCUUUCUCUGGGAUAACGCUCCGAAAGGAGUGCUAAUACCGGAUACUCACACCGAGGCACAUGCCUUGGUGUGGAAAGUUUUUCGGAAAGGGAUGGAGUCGCGGCCUAUCAGCUUGUUGGUGAGGUAACGGCUCACCAAGGCGACGACGGGUAGCCGGCCUGAGAGGGGGACCGGCCACACUGGGACUGAGACACGGCCCAGACUCCUACGGGAGGCAGCAGUGGGGAAUAUUGCACAAUGGGCGCAAGCCUGAUGCAGCGACGCCGCGUGAGGGAUGAAGGUCUUCGGAUUGUAAACCUCUUUCAGUAGGGACGAAGCGAAAGUGACGGUACCUAAAGAAGAAGCACCGGCUAACUACGUGCCAGCCGCCGCGGUAA